GAUCCUGGCUCAGGAUGAACGCUGGCGGCGUGCCUAACACAUGCAAGUCGAACGAAGCGCUUUUGUUUGAAUCUUCGGAGGAAGACAAUAGUGACUGAGUGGCGGACGGGUGAGUAACGCGUGGGUAACCUGCCUCAUACAGGGGGAUAACAGUUAGAAAUGACUGCUAAUACCGCAUAAGACCACGGAGUCGCAUGACUCAGUGGGAAAAACUCCGGUGGUAUGAGAUGGACCCCGCGU
rnacentral:rRNA from 1 species